rnacentral:rRNA from 1 species
UGGCUCAGAUUGAACGCUAGCGGGAUGCCUUACACAUGCAAGUCGAACGGCAGCACGGACUUCGGUCUGGUGGCGAGUGGCGAACGGGUGAGUAAUGUAUCGGAACGUGCCUAGUAGCGGGGGAUAACUACGCGAAAGCGUAGCUAAUACCGCAUACGCCCUACGGGGGAAAGCAGGGGAUCGCAAGACCUUGCACUAUUAGAGCGGCCGAUAUCGGAUUAGCUAGUUGGUGGGGUAACGGCUCACCAAGGCGACGAUCCGUAGCUGGUUUGAGAGGACGACCAGCCACACUGGGACUGAGACACGGCCCAGACUCCUACGGGAGGCAGCAGUGGGGAAUUUUGGACAAUGGGGGAAACCCUGAUCCAGCCAUCCCGCGUGUGCGAUGAAGGCCUUCGGGUUGUAAAGCACUUUUGGCAGGAAAGAAACGUCAUGGGYUAAUACCCCGUGAAACUGACGGUACCUGCAGAAUAAGCACCGGCUAACUACGUGCCAGCAGCCGCGGUAAUACGUAGGGUGCAAGCGUUAAUCGGAAUUACUGGGCGUAAAGCGUGCGCAGGCGGUUCGGAAAGAAAGAUGUGAAAUCCCAGAGCUUAACUUUGGAACUGCAUUUUUAACUACCGAGCUAGAGUGUGUCAGAGGGAGGUGGAAUUCCGCGUGUAGCAGUGAAAUGCGUAGAUAUGCGGAGGAACACCGAUGGCGAAGGCAGCCUCCUGGGAUAACACUGACGCU